GACUCCGGUAGCCUAGUGGCUAGAGCGUCCGCCUCGGAUGCGGGAGGUCAUAGGUUCUAUCACCUGCCGAGUCA